GUCCCUGUAGUGCAAUGGAUAGCGCGUUGGACUUCUAAUUCAAAGGUGGUGGGUUAGAAUCCCACCUGGGAUG